rnacentral:rRNA from 1 species
CCUACGGGAGGCAGUAGUAGGGAAUCUUCCACAAUGGGCGAAAGCCUGAUGGAGCAACGCCGCGUGGGUGAAGAAGGUCUUCGGAUCGUAAAACCCUGUUGUUAGAGAAGAAAGUGCGUGAGAGUAACUGUUCACGUUUCGACGGUAUCUAACCAGAAAGCAACGGCUAACUACGUGCCAGCAGCCGCGGUAAUACGUAGGUGGCAAGCGUUAUCCGGAUUUAUUGGGCGUAAAGGGCACGCAGGCGGUCUUUUAAGUCUGAUGUGAAAGCCUUCGGCUUAACCGGAGUAGUGCAUGGGAAACUGGGAGACGUGAGUGCAGAAGAGGAGAGUGGAACUCCAUGUGUAGCGGUGAAAUGCGUAGAUAUAUGGAAGAACACCAGUGGCGAAAGCGGCUCUCUGGUCUGUAACUGACGCUGAGGUUCGAAAGCGUGGGUAGCAAACAGGAUUAGAUACCCCAGUAGUC